CUGGUAAGCAGUACCCUCCAGCUCCAGAUGCUGUCAUUUGGGCUUAAUGGGAAGCAUCAUCCUGGUACAGACUUGGCAGCAGGGAGCAUGUGCUGUGAAUCGUCUUAGGUACAACUUUUAAUGAGAGGUGACCCAUAAAGAAUGCGGCGUACUCCAAUCCCAAUCUUCUGCUACUUUGCACCUCCUUGAUUGAGCUAGAGUUAAAUG
rnacentral:lncRNA from 1 species